UUUUAUCGUUUUGUCUCAAAUCGAAAGAUUUUAAAUAAAAGGAUAAUGUCGAAGAAUCCUAAAAUUUUGAAAAUUUUUAUAAUUUUACCUGAACUUUUUUUUUUAACAAAAAUACCCUAAAUUUUGAACUUUAUUACAAUUAUACUUUGUUGUCUAUUCUACUAUUAAUUCUAACGGAUUUUGCCAUGCCAGCAUAGGAAAUUUAAGAAAAAAAAAAUCAUAAACUUUGCAAUUUUUUUUUAACAAUUGUAUUUUUUAACAAAUGUACCGUGAACUUUGAACUUUACUAUAAUUGAAGCCCAUCAUUAGUUGCCGCAUUCAAUACUAAUGGUGUUCAAUACUUCUAAUCCCCAAAUUGUUACUAAUUAAACCUAAUUUACAAUAAAAGAAAAAAAAAAUUUCAUUUACAACAAAACUAGCACCACUUCUACCACUCCAUCAUCUCGACAAGUCAUCAUUUUUUGUGACGCUCACCUUUGCCCAACCCAAUUCUGUCCUUAUGAAGACUCAACCUUAAUCCUAUCAAAAUCUCCUUUUAACAAUUCUACCAGAUCCAAUUUGGCAACCCCAAAACAUGACCCAUUACUUCAUCAACUAUAGUUUAUUUUUAUUGUAAAUUAGAUUUAAUUAAUUUUAAUUUGGAGGAUUAGAAGUGCUAACCUGACACCUCUAGUAGAAUUUAAUGGGGCAAUUAACAGUGGGUUUUAAUUGUAGUAAAUUUAAAAGUUUAGAUAUAUUUGUUAAAAAAAUAAUUUAGAGUACAAUUGUUAAAAGAGGUAAAAUUUGGGGUUUUUUUGGACAUUUUCACUGUUAAAAUUAAUGAUGGAACAGACAACAGGUACAAUUGUUAAAAAGUUCAAAUUUUAGUGUAUUUUUGUUCAAAAAAAAAGGUUUGGGGUUGAAUUGUUAAAAACCUCAAAGUUCAGGGUUUUUUUUGGACAUUAUCCCAAAACACUUUAAGGCGGAUUGUGCACUGAACUUCUUGGAUUCAAAUUUUUUCUGGCUAUUUUCUUUAAAAUCCAGAUAUUUCUCUUAAUUCAUUCAGCCAUGCUGUUGCACUUCUCAUUUUGUAGAAGUAUACUAUAGUUCAUAUCAUGAUAGUCUUGAAUGUCAAAGACUUUAUUCUUUCUUGUUUUAGCAUUAUCUUAUUUGACUAUGUUUAUUGUUUUUUACUUUACCCUACAGAUUUUUGUUGAUCCUUAAUCGAACAGGUCGGAGAUCAGCCUUGCAGACUACCCUUCUAGUGUUGUAUCUGUUUACAAGUUUUCCAACCGUCCUGUUCAAUGUUUUAAGGUGCUUGUGGAGUUUUUCAGUCAUCACUUUGUGCAGUUAACCUAGUUUGUCGUUACAAUUACUAAAAAUACCAAUAUUUUUUUUAUUCAGAGGACAAUUUGGUUAUUGGAUAGCCUUUCUUGCUGUUGCAGCAAACUUAUUCUUCCCUGAAACCUUUCAAGGUUUGCAAUUUUUUUUUCCCUUUCAUCAUUCCUAUCAUUUCAUGCUGAUUGCUCAAGGUACAUCAAGUUGUCCUGAGAUCAAAUCUUGUUUCUAAUAUUGUACAGUUUCUCGCUUCAUUCUAUUUGUCAUCACACCUGACUGGCUGGCUAAUGGACUACGGGAUACUAUUGCUAGUGGUAUCUUUUGUCUUUUAAUGGCUGUUUCACUUCUCUUGGCAGAGCUUCGAGAAAUUGGAGGAUUGAGGGGUUGUGGAUUUAAUUGUCAUUGCUUUUCCUACUGUCUCGGUAUAGCUUUCUUGUUCUUCUUUACAAUAUUGUAUCUAAGUUAGCAGAAAAAUGAUUAAUUUCCAGGGGUUGAUGUUGUGGACCCCUUUGAAGGGACC
rnacentral:misc_RNA from 1 species